rnacentral:rRNA from 1 species
CCUACGGGAUGCAGCAGUGGGGAAUAUUGGGCAAUGGGCGCAAGCCUGACCCAGCAACGCCGCGUGAAGGAAGAAGGCUUUCGGGUUGUACACUUCUUUUAAGGGGGAAGAGCAGAAGACGGUACCCCUUGAAUAAGCCACGGCUAACUACGUGCCAGCAGCCGCGGUAAUACGUAGGUGGCAAGCGUUGUCCGGAUUUACUGGGUGUAAAGGGCGUGCAGCCGGAGAGACAAGUCAGAUGUGAAAUCCACGGGCUCAACCCGUGAACUGCAUUUGAAACUGUUUCCCUUGAGUGUCGGAGAGGUAAUCGGAAUUCCUUGUGUAGCGGUGAAAUGCGUAGAUAUAAGGAAGAACACCAGUGGCGAAGGCGGAUUACUGGACGAUAACUGACGGUGAGGCGCGAAAGCGUGGGGAGCAAACAGGAUUAGAUACCCUUGUAGUC